AACUUUUGGCAACGGAUCUCUCGGCUCUCGCAUCGAUGAAGAGCGUAGCGAAUUGCGAAAACUAAGGCGACUUGCAUAAAUCGCGAACCAUCGAGUUCUUGAACGCACACUGCACCCUCUGGUCACCCGGAGGGUCUGCCCGGUUGAGUAUCGAUUGACCCUAACCUCGUCCCGUCGUUGUUGAUGUGGACGGACGUGAGGGACGACUGCACGUUGUCAGUUGUUUCUUCAAAUUGCAGCUUGAGCCCUUUUGUGGGGCUGCGCGUUUCAACUCCACGGACAACCACGGCUCCCUCCUAUGGGGGAAACGUGGACCCGGGGGCCAGCGCGCGGCAAAACCCCACCAAACGCCGGCCAGCACACGACAAGGACACGUUUGGCGCCCUCCGUCGGCGGCCAACAACCCAUCGCGAUCUCAACUCGGGUAGGAUUACCCGCCGAAAUUAAGCAUAUCAAUUAGCGGAGGCU
rnacentral:misc_RNA from 1 species